UCUUUACCAGCUGUGCCACAAGGGAAGACCAGAGUCUGGGUGAAUAAUACUGCCUUUCUACCAAGUCCUUAGGUAAAAACGGAGGACUGUCCUGUAUUCCUCUUUCAUUUUCUUCCUCCCCUCUUUUAUUAAUGAGAAUGUUUUAGCUUCAACUCAUGGAAAGCCUAGCUACCAACAGCUUAAACAAUGGGUGUAUUAUUAUCCCACAAGAAAUCUGAAUGGAGGGCGGUUCCAGGAUUGGUUCAGUGAUGUCACCAAUAAGUCCAGUAUUUCCAGCUUUCUGUUCUGGCAUCCUCAAUGGCCUGGUGACGUCUUUUCUCCUGAUCACAGGAUGACUACCGCAGCUCCAAGUCUAGAGAAAGGCCAUCUUCCUUGACCAAGUGGAAGGGUGAAAAAUUAUACACAAUUAGGACCAUGCCAACAAAGAAGACAUGGAGGCAGGGGUCAGGCGCUGGCUGGAAGUAUGACUGGAGAGAGGCAACGUGAUUUCCAGGCAGCAUUAUGGACCAUUUGAGGUUAGUAAUGCAUUUGAAGUCAGAUCAGUCAAUAUAGUUCUGGGGUUUUCUACAGCCACUGUUUAGCAGGUCAGUGCAGGCAGAAUUGGUGAACAAAUGGAUUUAACCAGAGUUGUGGUUUGGUCAGUCAAGGAAACUGAAGCUAGAGGGAGACAAGGGAGUUGAAGGGUAUGUAAGGGAAUGAUCACCACUGACCACCGAAUUUAAAAUAAAAACACAGGAGAGGAUGAGGAACAUUGAAAACUCUGCCAUGUGGAAAUGGGAGAGGCACAGACCCUGAGUCCCAGAGGAACC